UUUGUAAGGUCCAUCUCCCAAAUGGUUGCAGGGACCAUUUCCAUGUGAAAACCCGUGAUGACAAGCACUGCAAAGUUACAUAAGCAGGGUUCAGCUGGGAGUUUUCUGUGUGAAGGAAUUGAACUCAACAGGAGUUGUGCCUAUGAGCUCACUACUGUGUGCUGGAGCGCUAUGGGGAGCUCUGGGCAGCCUGGUUUAAGGCCACUGGAAGUGAGGGCAGAAAUUUGCAAAAUGAGGACAUGCCCUGAACCUGCAGUGGGAAGAUGGAGACUGUUCUCAGGUACCAGGUCUAUCUGCCAGAGGUGACCAAGCAGACUGCAGUGGAGGCUGAGGCAGAUUGCCAUGAUUGCUACCUACUUAUGGUUGAAAGAAAUCAGGGCUAAAAUGCAGCUUGAUGGGGUAUGGGAAGCUGGUUUUUAUUACCUGGUGGUAAUAAAAAGUGUCUCUUGAGUAACGACUCCAUGUUCCUGAGGUGACCCCCAGGAAGAAAAUCUCUACUGUAGAUGGCACAUUUUGAUAGAAAUCCUCUGAUUCAAGCUUGUCUUCUGCUGUUGUGCAAAUGAACAUUCAUAAUGAAGCACUUGUAAUCUUUAAGACUGAGAUCAAUGCAUCUAAUGAGCAUCUGUUCGGUCAAAUUUGUACUGAACAGCUUUUUCAUGUAACUCCAAGUGAGUAAGAGAAACAUGGUUCAUCAAGUGUCUUUCCCCCAUCCCGUUUCCUGAUAAUAUAAAUAAAUCUUGCCAAGUUACUUUUUUUGAGAGAAAAUACUAUAUACUCUCUGGCUCUCAUUAAGCAAUUGUGAAAUUAACUGUUUCUCCUGUUCUUUAAAAAUACCAUUUGUAUCUAAUUAUUCAAAUCAGAAAUACAAGGAGGACCACAUAGUUCCUUAUUGAGGCCUGAAGAGAACUUGCUGUGAUUUCAAAACCCCAGCAAACUUAACAAAAUCAAAACAAUCUUAAAUAUUGACAGAGAAGAGGAAUGUGGGUUUUCUUCUUCUUCUGAAAGUCUGCGGUUCUGCAAGUAUUGAUGUUUCUUAAUCAUCUAAGAUUCCAUAUUGGUAAGCAAAAUAACAAAAUGGAGAAAAUGUCUAGAAUACCAUCCGUAAGAAAACCAAUUACCAGUAACUUUGCCAAGAUGUAACUCAGGCAGACAGUCAAAUGGGGAAAACAAUCCUGCCUUAAUCUUGUCGAGUGUUUAUUUGUUGGUCUUAAGCUAGAAUUAGGACUUGUAGAUUUAUGUACUGUAUAUAAAAUGAAACAAA